GUCCAUGCCGUAAACGUUGGGAACUAGAUGUGGGGACCAUUCCACGGUCUCCGUGUCGCAGCUAACGCAUUAAGUUCCCCGCCUGGGGAGUACGGCCGCAAGGCUAAAACUCAAAGGAAUUGACGGGGGCCCGCACAAGCGGCGGAGCAUGCGGAUUAAUUCGAUGCAACGCGAAGAACCUUACCAAGGCUUGACAUAUACCGGAAACGUCUGGAAACAGUCGCCCCGCAAGGUCGGUAUACAGGUGGUGCAUGGUUGUCGUCAGCUCGUGUCGUGAGAUGUUGGGUUAAGUCCCGCAACGAGCGCAACCCUCGUCCUAUGUUGCCAGCACGUAAUGGUGGGAACUCAUGGGAUACUGCCGGGGUCAACUCGGAGGAAGGUGGGGAUGACGUCAAAUCAUCAUGCCCCUUAUGUCUUGGGCUUCACGCAUGCUACAAUGGCCGGUACAAAGGGCUGCAAUACCGUAAGGUGGAGCGAAUCCCAAAAAGCCGGUCUCAGUUCGGAUUGAGGUCUGCAACUCGACCUCAUGAAGUCGGAGUCGCUAGUAAUCGCAGAUCAGCAACGCUGCGGUGAAUACGUUCCCGGGCCUUGUACACACCGCCCGUCAAGUCAUGAAAGUCGGUAACACCCGAAGCCAGUGGCCCAACCGCAAGGAGGGAGCUGUCGAAGGUGGAUCGGUG
rnacentral:rRNA from 2 species